rnacentral:rRNA from 1 species
UACAGAGGGGCAAGCGUUGUUCGGAAUUACUGGGCGUAAAGGGCGCGUAGGCGGCCUGUUAAGUCGAACGUGAAAUCCCCGGGCUCAACCCGGGAACUGCAUCCGAUACUGGAGGGCUUGAAUUCGGGAGAGGGAUGCAGAAUUCCAGGUGUAGCGGUGAAAUGCGUAGAUAUCAGGAGGAACACCAAUGGCGAAGGCAGAUCUCUGGCCGUAACUGACGCUGAGGAGCGAAAGCAUGGGAGCGAAC